GACGAACGCUGGCGGCGUGCUUAACACAUGCAAGUCGAACGGAAAGGCCCUGCUUUUGUGGGGUGCUCGAGUGGCGAACGGGUGAGUAACACGUGAGUAACCUGCCCUUGACUUUGGGAUAACUUCAGGAAACUGGGGCUAAUACCGGAUAGGAGCUCCUGCUGCAUGGUGGGGGUUGGAAAGUUUCGGCGGUUUGGGAUGGACUCGCGGCUUAUCAGCUUGUUGGUGGGGUAGUGGCUUACCAAGGCUUUGACGGGUAGCCGGCCUGAGAGGGUGACCGGCCACAUUGGGACUGAGAUACGGACCAGACUCCAACAGGAGGCAACGGUGGGGAAUAUUGCACACUGAGCGGAAGCCUGAGGCGGCAACGCCGCGAGCGUGAUGAAGGCCUUCGGGUUGUAAACCGCAUUCGCCUGUGACGAAGCGUGAGUGACGGUAAUGGGUAAAGAAGCACCGGCUAACUACGUG
rnacentral:rRNA from 1 species